UUGGAACUGAGACACGGUCCAAACUCCUACGGGAGGCAGCAGUGAGGAAUAUUGGUCAAUGGGCGCAGGCCUGAACCAGCCAAGUAGCGUGAAGGAUGACUGCCCUAUGGGUUGUAAACUUCUUUUAUAAAGGAAUAAAGUCGGGUAUGUAUACCCGUUUGCAUGUACUUUAUGAAUAAGGAUCGGCUAACUCCGUGCCAGCAGCCGCGGUAAUACGGAGGAUCCGAGCGUUAUCCGGAUUUAUUGGGUUUAAAGGGAGCGUAGGCGGAUGCUUAAGUCAGUUGUGAAAGUUUGCGGCUCAACCGUAAAAUUGCAGUUGAUACUGGGUGUCUUGAGUACAGUAGAGGCAGGCGGAAUUCGUGGUGUAGCGGUGAAAUGCUUAGAUAUCACGAAGAACUCCGAUUGCGAAGGCAGCUUGCUGGACUGUAACUGACGCUGAUGCUCGAAAGUGUGGGUAUCAAACAGGAUUAGAUACCCUGGUAGUCCACACAGUAAACGAUGAAUACUCGCUGUUUGCGAUAUACAGUAAGCGGCCAAGCGAAAGCGUUAAGUAUUCCACCUGGGGAGUACGCCGGCAACGGUGAAACUCAAAGGAAUUGACGGGGGCCCGCACAAGCGGAGGAACAUGUGGUUUAAUUCGAUGAUACGCGAGGAACCUUACCCGGGCUUAAAUUGCAGAUGAAUUACGGUGAAAGCCGUAAGCCGCAAGGCAUCUGUGAAGGUGCUGCAUGGUUGUCGUCAGCUCGUGCCGUGAGGUGUCGGCUUAAGUGCCAUAACGAGCGCAACCCUUAUCGAUAGUUACCAUCAGGUUAUGCUGGGGACUCUGUCGAGACUGCCGUCGUAAGAUGUGAGGAAGGUGGGGAUGACGUCAAAUCAGCACGGCCCUUACGUCCGGGGCUACACACGUGUUACAAUGGGGGGUACAGAGGGCCGCUACCACGCGAGUGGAUGCCAAUCCCAAAAACCUCUCUCAGUUCGGACUGGAGUCUGCAACCCGACUCCACGAAGCUGGAUUCGCUAGUAAUCGCGCAUCAGCCACGGCGCGGUGAAUACGUUCCCGGGCCUUGUACACACCGCCCGUCAAGCCAUGAAAGCCGGGGGUACCUGAAGUGCGUAACCGCGAGGAGCGCCCUAGGGUAAAACUGGUGAUUGGGGCUAAGUCGUAACAAGGUAGCCGUACCGGAAGGUGCGGCUG
rnacentral:rRNA from 1 species